rnacentral:tRNA from 1 species
AUUUAUAUAGUAUAAAUAAUUAUAUUUGACUUCCAAUCAAAUGAUCUAUAAAAUAUAGUAUAAAUA